ACUCAGUUGGUAGAGCACAAGGCUCUUAACCUUGUGGACGUGGGUUCAAGCCCCAU
rfam:Triticum urartu cultivar G1812 contig688181, whole genome shotgun sequence.